rnacentral:lncRNA from 1 species
CGACUGAUCUGCAGUUCCAGACCAGUACACCGAGUCCCCUUCAGCAGGACCUGCAGGACCAGGAGCAGAACCUCUGCCCUGAUGAAAUUACUGCAAAGACAAAGGAAGUGGAGGAACCCAAAAAUUUGGAUGAGUCCAUAAGGCUGGAGGAGCCCUCAGGGCUGGAGGAGUCCUCAGGACUGGAGGAGUCCUCAGGGCUGGAGGAACCCACAGGGCUGGAGGAGCCCAAAGAUCUGGAGGAGUCCUCAGGGCUGGAGGAGUCCUCAGGGCUGGAGGAGCCCACAAGGCUGGAGGAGUCCUCAGGGCUGGAGGAACCCACAGGGCUGGAGGAGCCCAAAGAUCUGGAGGAGUCCCCAGGGCUGGAGGAGCCCAGAGAUCUGGAGGAGUCCCCAGGGCUGGAGGAAUCCAUAAAGCUGGAGGAGCCCACAGGGAUGGAGGAGCCCACAGGGAUGGAGGAACCCACAGGGCUGGAGGAGUCCAUAAGGCUGGAGGAGUCCCCAGGGCUGGAGGAGCCCACAGGGCUGGAGGAAGCUGCACUUCCCUGUUGCCUUGAAGAGCCCAGCGAGGUUGCCCCAGCCCCAGGAAUGCAGCUGAGCUGUGCAGGUGAGGACUUGGGAUGGGGACAGUGGGGGUUGGCCCCUCUUCUGUGUCUCGCUGGGGG